rnacentral:rRNA from 1 species
UACGUAGGGUGCGAGCGUUGUCCGGAAUUAUUGGGCGUAAAGAGCUCGUAGGCGGCCUGUCGCGUCGGUUGUGAAAGCCCGGGCUUAACCCCGGGUCUGCAGUCGAUACGGGCAGGCUAGAGUUCGGUAGGGGAGAUCGGAAUUCCUGGUGUAGCGGUGAAAUGACGCAGAUAUCAGGAGGAACACCGGUGGCGAAGGCGGUUCUCUGGGCAUUACCUGACGCUGAGGAGCGAAAGUGUGGGGAGCGAACAGG